GAAGGUUUCACAAAUCAUCACUGUCUGUGCCAUGCUGCAUAAUGUGGCAAGGCAGCAUGGAUUACCUGCAGACAUUGAUGAUGACCUGGAACCUGAGAUUGAGGGGUAUGUUGCCAGACAGAGGGACAACCAACCAGAGGGAAGAAGAGUGCGUGAAAGGCUCAUCCGUGCCCACUUUUAGUUCCUGCUGAUGGUGAUGUGCUGGCGUGCCCCUAGCAGUGAAUGCUUUCCUGUAACAUCUUAUGCUCUUUCUGGCCUCCUACUUUGUUAUGGUUGUGGUUCAUGUGUGUCGUACUCUACUUUAUUAUCUUGGUACUUGCCCACAGAGGAUACAGACAUGGACACUGACUGAUUGGCCACGCCUCAAACUCCGUUAUUCAGCCUCUCCAUGUGCAAACUUUUCCUGACCCACUAAAUUGGACUCAACACAACCGACAGAUGUGAUGAACUGAAAGCUGUUUGGCUCAU